rnacentral:rRNA from 3 species
GGGGAAUUUUCCGCAAUGGGCGAAAGCCUGACGGAGCAAGACCGCGUGAGGGAGGAAGGCUCUUGGGUUGUAAACCUCUUUUCUCAAGGAAGAAGAACUGACGGUACUUGAGGAAUCAGCAUCGGCUAACUCCGUGCCAGCAGCCGCGGUAAUACGGAGGAUGCAAGCGUUAUCCGGAAUCAUUGGGCGUAAAGAGCCGUAGGUGGUACUUCAAGUCGGUUGUCAAAGACCACAGCUUAACUGUGGAAAGGCAGUGGAAACUGAAGAGCUAGAGAAUGGUAGGGGCAGAGGGAAAUCCCGGUGUAGCGGUGAAAUGCGUAGAGAUCGGGAAGAACACCAGUGGCGAAAGCGCUCUGCUGGACCAUAACUGACACUGAGGGACGAAAGCUAGGGGAGCGAAUGGGAUUAGACACCCCAGUAGUCCUAGCCGUAAACGAUGGAUACUAGGCGUUGGUAGUAUCGACCCUACCAGUGCCGCAGCUAACGCGCUAAGUAUCCCGCCUGGGGAGUACGCACGCAAGUGUGAAACUCAAAGGAAUCGACGGGGGCCCGCACAAGCGGUGGAGUAUGUGGUUUAAUUCGAUGCAACGCGAAGAACCUUACCAGGGCUUGACAUGUCCGGAAUCUUUGGGAAACCAAAGAGUGCCUUCGGGAACCGGAACACAGGUGGUGCAUGGCUGUCGUCAGCUCGUGUCGUGAGAUGUUGGGUUAAGUCCCGCAACGAGCGCAACCCUCGUUCUUAGUUGCCAGCAUUCAGUUGGGCACUCUAAGGAGACUGCCGGUGACAAACCGGAGGAAGGUGGGGAUGACGUCAAGUCAUCAUGCCCCUUACGUCCUGGGCUACACACGUACUACAAUGCUUCAGACAAAGGGCAGCUAGCCAGCGAUGGUCUGCUAAUCCCGUAAACUGAGGCUCAGUUCAGAUCGCAGGCUGCAACUCGCCUGCGUGAAGGCGGAAUCGCUAGUAAUCGCAGGUCAGCAUACUGCGGUGAAUACGUUCCCGGGCCUUGUACACACCGCCCGUCACACCAUGGAAGCUGGCCAUGCCCGAAGUCGUUACUCCAACCUGAAAAGGAGGAGGACGCCGAAGGUGGGGCUGGCGACUGGGGUGAAGUCGUAACAAGGUAGCCGUACCGGAAGGUGUGGCUGGAUCACCUCCUUU